UACGUAGGUGACAAGCGUUGUCCGGAUUUACUGGGCGUAAAGAGCGCGCAGGCGGUCGAUCAAGUCGAGUGUGAAAGCCCCCGGCUUAACUGGGGAGGGUCAUUCGAUACUGCUCGGCUCGAAGACAGGAGAGGGAAGUGGAAUUCCCGGUGUAGUGGUGAAAUGCGUAGAUAUCGGGAGGAACACCAGUGGCGAAGGCGACUUUCUGGCCUGUUCUUGACGCUGAGGCGCGAAAGCUAGGGGAGCAAACGGG
rnacentral:rRNA from 1 species